rnacentral:rRNA from 1 species
CGUAGGUGCGAGCGUUGUCCGGAAUUACUGGGCGUAAAGAGCUCGUAGGUGGUUUGUCGCGUUGUUCGUGAAACUCACAGCUCAACUGUGGGCGUGCGGGCGAUACGGGCAGACUGGAGUACUGCAGGGGAGACUGGAAUUCCUGGUGUAGCGGUGGAAUGCGCAGAUAUCAGGAGGAACACCGGUGGCGAAGGCGGGUCUCUGGGCAGUAACUGACGCUGAGGAGCGAAAGCGUGGGAGCGAACAGGAUU